rnacentral:rRNA from 1 species
GACAGAGGAUGCAAGCGUUAUCCGGAAUGAUUGGGCGUAAAGCGUCUGUAGGUGGCUUUUUAAGUCUGCCGUCAAAUCCCAGGGCUUAACCCUGGACAGGCGGUGGAAACUACCAAGCUGGAGUACGGUAGAGGGGGAUGGAAUUCCGCGUGUAGCAGUGAAAUGCGUAGAUAUGCGGAGGAACACCGAUGGCGAAGGCAAUCCCCUGGACCUGUACUGACGCUCAUGCACGAAAGCGUGGGGAGCAAACAGG